CGGGGUGAGGAAUACAUCGGAAUUUGCCCAGUCGUGGGGGAGUAACGUAGGGAAACUUACGCUAAUACCGCAUACGACCUAACGGUGAAAGCGGGGGAUCGCAAGACCUCGCGCGAGUGGAUGAGCCGAUGUCGGAUUAGCUAGUUGGCGGGGUAAAGGCCCACCAAGGCGACGAUCCGUAGCUGGUCUGAGAGGAUGAUCAGCCACACUGGGACUGAGACACGGCCCAG
rnacentral:rRNA from 1 species